AAUGAAUUUGAGUCGAUUGAGUUGACCUGCUUGAUAGAGUCCAUUUCUACAAACAAUCCCAGAAUUGAAUGGAAGAAAAUUAAAAAUGGUGUACCCAGCUAUGUCUAUUUCCAAAAUAAAAUUUCAGGUGACUUGGAGCACAGGGCUUUGCUGAGAGAGCCUGCAAACCUUCUGAUCCUGAACGCCAGCAGAUCGGACACAGCUCUGUAUCGCUGUGAGG